rnacentral:rRNA from 1 species
UACGGAGGGGACUAGCGUUGUUCGGAAUUACUGGGCGUAAAGCGCACGUAGGCGGAUUUGUAAGUCAGGGGUGAAAUCCCGGGGCUCAACCUCGGAACUGCCUUUGAUACUGCGAAUCUCGAGUCCGGAAGAGGUGAGUGGAAUUCCUAGUGUAGAGGUGAAAUUCGUAGAUAUUAGGAAGAACACCAGUGGCGAAGGGCGGCUCACUGGUCCGGUACUGACGCUGAGGUGCGAAAGCGUGGGGAGCAAACAGGG